rnacentral:lncRNA from 10 species
CCGGGAGCAAGUGCACGCCGCGCGGAGGACGAAGAGGCUGCACGCACAGCCGCUGCCGGGGGUCGGGGCCAAGUGCGCGCCUCGCCGAGGACGAAGAGGCUGGCGUGCCCGGUGGCUCGGCUAGCUCCCGGGUCCCGGCCCCGCCUGGAGGAUUUAUAGGAGCAUUGUGACUGGACCAAGGACAAAGAAGUUCCCAACCUCCUCAGACCCUCGCUGCUGCCCAGAUGUCUGCCAUGGGGUGGCCAUCAUCGAAUCCACUGAGGGCGCAAAUAGAACAAAAAGGUGAAGAAAAGGUGAAUUCUCUCCUUUCUUGAGCUGGGACAUCCAACUUCUCAGACAUCAGAGCUCCUGGAGGCCUUCAGACUCCGAGACAUUACACCAUUGGCUCACCUGGUCCUCAGGUCUUUGGACUUGGAAUGAAUUACACCAUUGGCUUUCCAGGUCUUCCAGCUUGCAGAUGGCAGAUUGUGGGACUUUUCAGCCUCCAUAACUUUGUCAUCCAAUUCCCAUAAUAAAUCGCCUCUUAUAUCUGUA